CCUCACACACAGGCAUUAUUUUCUGCAUAUUCACUCACUCAAAAGAAAACUGAUAUAAGCUGAAAUUUGAAAGAAAAGUUCUUAGUAUUCAACUUCAAAAAAUCAAAAAGAAAGGGGGGGAAGGAGAUACAAAGUUAUUUUCGAAUUCUAGCAUGUUUGAUUGAUAUUUUCUGGGAUCUCAAAGAACUUUCAUGCUAUUAGGAUUGAUGUUUUUGCUGGGUUGGAAUCGGUUGCCUCUGCUUGCCGAACUUGACAUCAUCUCUACUUCGUUUUUCUUCCUUAACUGAUUCAUCUCAAAGCCUUUAUUUGGCUGUGUUAGAUUGUUGAUGUCUUUAGGUAUGUAGACUUGUAUUCUACUUUGAUUUGUAUUUAAGUAUGGGCUGUUUUAUCUGAAGUUAUCUGCUGCAUUUGUUUAAAUUUAUUGUUUGUUCGGUUUUUGCACAUGAAUUGAAUGCUUAGCUUUAAUAUAGUAACUACAUGAAGGUUCUGUUAUUUUGCCUAUGAGAAACAUGUUGAUUUCGGAGAUUUAAUGACUAAAAGAUACUGGAAAUCCGCUUGUUACAAUUAGAAUUCAGUUUAUGUGUUGUAUUAAUAGUUAUAUACUGCUCAAUUUGAGAUUGGACUAUUGAAAUCUAAGUCUCUUUCUUUUUAUGCUAAUAAGAUGUGCAAGUUUGGAUUCGUGUGAUCAAAGAUGGUCUAUCACUGUUGAAGAAUUUUAUGCCUAGAGUACCUUUAUUUGAAUUGAUAGUGAAUAGUGUUUCAAUACUACUAUUGAAACAAUAUUAUUUCUUCAUUUGAGUGUUGGCUCACGAAAUUAAUGGUGUAAUUUUGAUUUGAUAUUGGCAUGUGGAGGUUGUCAUUGGAUUUGAUCAUCAGUUGAUCAAAUCCAUUGUUGGAUAGAUUUCGAGUCUAAAUCGGAGAGUAACAAAGAGAACAAAUGCUUAUUAUAGUUGUAAUUUAAUUGAAAGGCCA
rnacentral:lncRNA from 1 species